rnacentral:rRNA from 1 species
AGAGACAGCAGCCGCCGCGGUAAUACAGAGGAUGCAAGCGUUAUCCGGAAUGAUUGGGCGUAAAGCGUCUGUAGGUGGCUUUUCAAGUCCGCCGUCAAAUCCCAGGGCUCAACCCUGGACAGGCGGUGGAAACUACCAAGCUGGAGUACGGUAGGGGCAGAGGGAAUUUCCGGUGGAGCGGUGAAAUGCGUUGAUAUAUGGAGGAACACCGGUGGCGAAAGCGGCUCUCUGGCUUGUAACUGACGCUGAGGCUCGAAAGCGUGGGGCGCAAACAGGAUUAGAUACCCCCGUAGUCCCUGUCUCUUAUAC